rnacentral:rRNA from 1 species
GACGAACGCUGGCGGCGUGCUUAACACAUGCAAGUCGAGCGAUGAAGUUUCUUCGGAAAUGGAUUAGCGGCGAACGGGUGAGGAACACGUGAAGAAUCUGCCCUCCACUUUGGGAUAACACAGGGAAACCUGUGCUAAUACCGAGUAUUGAAACAUAAGUGGCAUCACUGAGUUUUGAAAGAAUUUCGGUGGAGGAUGACUUCGCGGCCUAUCAGCUAGUUGGUGAGGUAGUGGCUCACCAAGGCAACGACGGGUAGCCGGCCUGAGAGGGCGACCGGCCAUACUGGGACUGAGACACGGCCCAGACUCCUAAGGGAGGCAGCAGUGGGGAAUAUUGGGCAAUGGAGGAAGCUCUGACCCAGCGACGCCGCGUGCGGGAUGAAGGCCUUCGGGUUGUAAACCGCUUUCAGUAGGGAAGAAGCGAAAGUGACGGUACCUACAAAAGAAGCACCGGCUAACUAUGUGCCAGCCGCCGCCGUAA